UCUGCAGGGAGGGAAAAAGGUUCAUGCCUGUUACUUCCAUCACAAGUUGAAACGGGCUGUGUUGCCUUCAGAGCAGCCCAGCCAUCUGCCCGGCUCUGGUGAGGAUUAUCUAUGCUUGCAAGGGACAAGUUUUCUCAGAAGCCAAGUAAUCCUUUCAGUGCUGUUCCUAAUGACUUCAUUUUAAAGAGAAAGGAAAUAAAGGGGGUAUAUUCUGUGUGUCCUUUUACAAUGUACUCAUUAUGCUGCUGAAAAGAAAAUUGCUCACUUGCUUGAAGAAUGUGGAAUUCAAGAGCACAACUGUGAGACGACCAUGGAAAUAAACUCUUUUCCAGUGCUGUAAUGGAGGACUGUGAAACCCUGCAUCAGAACCUGUGACUGGAACUAGACAUCUCUCCUGUUGCAUGAUACAGCAUAUAAUCUGUGUCUUGCAUGCAGUUAAAACUGGUGAUGCCAGAAGAAGUGAAGAUCAGAAAAAAACCCACAUGUCAUUGCUCAGCAAUCUCAUUGCUCAACCUGGCUACAUUCUCCAUAACCUGCAUUCAGUACUUUGCUCAUUGAAACACCAAUGUGCAGAUUGCACGGCCCAGAACACAUUUAAUUAUAAAUGUGUUGGUACCGGGGGGAGUAUUGGAAAGGAAGACCUCAUGUGGCAGGCAUUGCAUGGGGCAUAGUGGCUUAACAUUUCCCAUUUUUGGAGCAAAAUCUAUUAAAAAGAGAGUAUACAUAUAUAUGUCCAUGGGCUUAUUCACCAAGGCUUCAUGGCUUUACUGGAACGAGGGACUCAUCUUUGAAUUUUGUUGUUGAGCUGCUGAUGCCAUUUUGCACUCCACAUUGAUACAUGGAUCAGGGAUGGUAAGGGACAGAAAUGGAGUAUGUGAGAGAAGACUACCCCAGUAAACAAAGCUCAUCUGGGGUUCAGAACUUAGCCACCUACUCACCAAAGCAUGCUGAGAGACUUCAUCUACAGAGCAGGACCCACUCAAAAUGUACUAACAAAGGCAUUCCUCACAAAAUUUGUUUGUGGGUGCCACCUUCAUUAUAAAGCUAGAGCAUAAAGACACCCUCCCCAUCCUCCUCUAUAUAAUAAUGUAUUGGUGUGAGCCUUCACCAUGAAGGUGUAGGAAAUCCAGAUUCAGGCCCUCUUAAGGACAUGAAGAUUCGUAUCUGCCACUUGAGUGCCUUAAACCUUGGCUGUGGGGAAGCAGAGGGAGGUGAGCUUAGUCCAUUUUGUCAAAGUAAAUGCAAAAAAGAGAUCCAAGCUUCAUUGGCCAGAGAAAAAGAGGGAGAUCUGGGCAAUUUCCUGAAGGAGGGGAGUCCUGGACUCUUAACCUGUACUUUCAGAGAACUAUUCCUGUAUAUUAUAUCAAGAAGUCACUGGAUAAAAUGAACUGAAUUGAAAAAAAACCCAAUACAAACCCUUUUCAGGGGCCUAAGUAUUUUUGGAUCUAACCAUAGGUCCUUUCAUUGCUAACUUUUAUGGUGCUAUAUCACUUUGAUAACCCUGUUGUGAAUUCCCUUCAUUUUACUGUAGCAAUCAUGGUGGCCUGUUACUGUAACUUUUAUUCUGAGAAUAAUGAUUUGACUGUAAGCUCUAUAUGUACAUGCAGAAUAUUCAGUGCACAUUUUAGCCUCACUUCCCAGAGCAGAGGUAUUAUAUUUUGGCUUGCUUAGUAAUUUCACUAACAAUUGGGAGAAGAAUAAUGGAAUCCUGGAGUGCUGGCUCAUGAGAUACAGCUGUAUGACAUAAGUAAAGCCUCCUUUGGAGAUAUCAUUUGGGGGCAAUUUCUUGAUUUUGUUGUUAGGCAAAACUCUCACUGACAUCAGUGGGAAUUUUUCUUCCAUAAAAAACAGAGGAUCAGGUUUCGGCCCUUGUUGUUUUGUCAGCUUGGACUACUUCAGAUAGUGCCAUUAUUCUAAACACCCACUGGUGGGCAGAAGGCCUCUGUAAUGUACUGAAGACACCCUCAGAUUGACAUAAAAAGGUAAAAGUAAGGAAAAAUAAUUCAUCAGUCAGCCUUGUUUUCAGUAUUCCCUAAUGCAUCUUAUGUGACUUGUUGGACCCCCUCAUAUGCAUGAGUAUAUCAGGUAUUUUGAAUUUAAUCUUUCAAAAAUGCCUUUUAAAUCAGACAUCUGGUAAUAGCUUGUAAAUAGAAAUGCUAAUAAAAAUGCAUUUUAUUCAGGGAUAUUCACAAAUGUGAACCACUUACUCCACCCCAAGCAUAGGAAAAGUAAAUGUUAUCCAUUUUCACAAAAUUUUUAGCCAAAGUCUUUUAAGCAUAUAACUUUACAGCUUUCAUAAAAAGGGCAUACAAAUGAAAAACGUAUUUUGCAAUGAAUCUGCCACUGAUAUGAGUGUUCAAUUAAGUGGGCCAUGCAAGAAAAGAAGAAAGAUUUGCUACUGGGGUAUUGCCAAUGAUAUCCUUUGACACUUCUAUGGUCUCAUGUGUUCCUGAUCAAGCAGCAAGGAGCACUGGAAAAUCCCAAACCAAUUAGCUUGAAACUAGAGCAGUCUGUAUUCAUCUGAUGUGCAGUCAGAAAAGUCUGACUUGAAAUGACUGGCACUGAACUAUGACCUUUCUAUUAACUUCUCUUAAACCAUUUUUGCCCUUUUGUUGACACAGAACUUCACCAACUCUAUUUAUACCCUGAAAAAUUGCAUGUUUCUGCUUAGACAACAGAUUCAAACUGUGUUUUUACUAAUGGCAACAAUUUGUAAUUAUUUCCUACCAAUUGUAUCCCAUUUCAUUUUAAAUCUUCUCUUCCGGACACAUAGAAGAUUCGUACUUCUGUAAAAUCUGGCUACCAAAUUUGGUAAUUUAUCAUUGACAUUACCCAGUGAAAUAUGUCACUGGUUUUAGUCCAGUUCCUACCCCUGUGUAUUUUGUUCCCAUCAUGUAAAUUUCAGUUUUCCUGGAGUAGUUUGGUACAGUUCCCAGUGUAAGAUCCAGGUUGCCAUGCUGUCCUGCAGGUGCAGAGACACAAGUGUCAACUCUACUUUCUUGUCCUUUGUCUUCAACUCCAACCCUCCCUCCCUUCCUUCUGUGCACUUGGUUUGAGGAUGGAGGACUACAAAAUGAGGACUGUUAGUUAAUUCGUCUGGGCCACUGUUUAAAUCCUUAGUAGCUGGUGAAUGCUGAGAUUGUUAUGGGUUAUAAAGUUGCCUUCCACUCUUGUGGCGCAGGUUCCUAGAAGGAGUAAGGGAGGGAAGUUCCAGGAAAGAAUAGAAAAACUGUCUUCUGGUGGCAGAAAGCCUGCCUACAAUCCAACCCAGGAACCAAUGCUGAGUUCCCAUGGUCUUUCUACCUGUGAUCUUUUAAUUUUGAUGCAACUCCCUGAACACCAGUUAGUGAGAGAGCCAUUGGUUUCGAGAGACAACCCCUCUGCUGUCCCCUCACUGAAACAGCAAAUGCUCAUUCUGACUGAAGAAAGAAAAGAAAACCAUAUGAAAAGGGUACAUAAAUGUUUCCAUUCUCUACUCUGUUACAUGCUUAUACACAUAGAAAGAUGUAUUUGAGCAUAGUAGAAGUUCUUAACAAAGUGCAAACCCCAGAAUGUCCCAGACACCAUUUUUCCUUGUGAAGCUAAAAAGUGGAAGUGCAACAUAAGUAUAUUUGCAUUUUUGCCACCCACUGGCUUACCUUCCAUAAAGCUGAAGUCUUCCUUUUCCAGUGCUAUAAAUCCGGCACCACUCAUAAUUAUGGAAUUCCCUUAAAGAAAAAUAAGAAAGGGAGAAAAAGAAUUAUUUAUUGUAGCCAAGGAAUGCACAAACUACUGGAAAAAGAAUUUUGUAACUGCUUAACACAAUGUAACAAAGAGGUCUUUAGGAUAAAAAAAUUAAUCAGCAUCUUAAUUGCUAUUUUAUGUAAUUGCAUUCUCAUUUGUAUAGAUACCAUUCAGUUUUAAGUAUAAAACUACUAUCAGAUUUACUUUUCAUUUGCAAGAAAUCCUAUUUCCAUCAGUUCAAGAUUAAUCUGCUAUAAUUAAUUUGUUUCCUUGCAUAAGGAAAGAUAUGGAGCUCACUGGUCAAACAAAUGACAUAUAGAGGACCUGCUGUUAUGCUUCCAAACACGUCCAAUUCAGAUAUAUCUUGGUCUUUGCUGAUGGAGAAUGGAGUUCAAGAUUUGUCUUUCUUCGUGGCAACUCACUUAAGUUCCAUCUUUGCCUGCAUUGACCACUGCAUCCUGAGCAGGCACAUGGACUCCCUGCCGUGCAUAUGGAAAAUUGAUCCCUACAGCAGAGAAAAUGGGCCAGAUCUCAAUCUCAGUGAAAAAUGCCAUGGCAGACCUUGUGAUUGCUAGAAAUGUUUCCUUCUCAGAAAGGACAACCUUGUCCAUGCUGCUCGUGGGAAAAGAGGGCUUCUUCCUCCUGUGCUAACCCCUUAGCAUUAUUAGAAUGAGUAUUAAUUGUCUCAUGUCACAACUGGGAAAUAUUCUAACAAUAAUAUUUAACAGAUCAUCCUGGGAAAUUGUUCAAACUGAUGUCCUGGCUGUAACCUUUUUACUAGCAUAAUCAUAGUACAAAAUAUCUCAAAUCCACCCUGUUAAACUUGGAACAUUAAGGAGUAAGCUUGAAUUAGUUCACAGGGGAAGUACAAAUUCUAGUGUGAUACUAGUUCUCAUUGGUCUUUCUGACAAAUUGAAGACUCACUGAGUACCACUAUUGCCAUUUAGUGGUAAUUUGGGAACAGAGAAAAAAUGCUGAAGACAUGUAAACACACCAUUAAGAAAUAAACUCAAACCUUUGAUAAUGUUGAAUAAACACAUCAAUGUAACUUUAAAAACAAAUGAUGGACAUCUCUCUAGGCUGCUGAAAUAACAUUAUCCGUUUUCUUCCAUAACUUUAUUCCCUCGUCUAACCAGGAAUAAUUCAGUGCAGCUGAAAUUCGGGAGCUGAAUUGAAAGGCAACUGGGACUAAUCCCAGUAAAGUUACUUGCCUCAUGCCAGCCAAUGACUUCAGUACAAUGAGUCAUUUUGUUUGUAUCAUGAGUGUCCAAAACACCUUCUAUUCAAUUCACCUCUUGGAAAAAUGAAGGCUUCUUAUAGAGAUAAGAUUUUCUUCUUUCUUUUUUUGUUACAGUGUGUAUAUGUUUUUCCAUGAGAUGUAGAGAGGACUAUAAAGAAUGGAAUCAUCAAACUCCAGGCAAAAUUAACAGUGGUGUUCAGAACGAAGCAAGAGGACUGGAAAACGUGCAACCCUUUUUAUUUUCAGUUCAAGCGGGAAAAUGAAUAGAUGUCAUUAAAAUCUAAAAGAAAAACUAGUUAAGUUUUGCAUAUUGCUACAUGGACACCUUCAGAAAUGAAAGCUUGGCAUUCUCACAUUUGUUGAAACAAAGGGAAAAUACAAAUCUGUACUUGCAAUUGUAUUUUUUUUCUUAAUUACUUCAGACCUUUCAUCUAUUGUAUCAUGAUCUUCUUUACAGAAAAAAACAACAAUCCAAUAAUAUAAUUUGUGUAAUUUCAUGGUUUUAACGUCCUUUCUUGUGAAAUGGUCAAAAAGAGCAUUUUUAUUCUAUUUUGAUUACAGAGCACUUUGGCAAAAACUUAGUUUUGGAAUAAUUUCUUUGACAUUUUACUUACCAGUGUAAAGAAGAAUGAAGAGAGAGAAAGAGGAAUUUCUGCCUGGAAACCUUCUAUUUGGUGCUACCAUUUUGUUCUGUGACAAUCAGCAGCUAUUCAAAACCUUCCUCAGUUACAAUAGUGAAUUGUAUUUGCAUGUUGAUAUAUAUUAUUUAUUUUAUUUUUUGUUUUGUUUUGUUUAUUACAGUGUGGUUUGUUUACAUGUAACUUUAAGGUAACAGUUCACAGUCAUUUUAAGAAAUGUUGUUUGAUGCAUAAUCUAAAACUGUUCCUAAUCUGCACGAGAUGUAGGCUUUAGGAACUGAACAGAAAUUCAGGAGCUCACCUAUUCUGAAGAAGAUCUUUGCAGUAUCAGGAUCAAAGCAAAAGCAUUUCUGGAAUUCCUUCUCAUCAUAAGAUAGUGUUUCAGGGUAUCAUCACCAGGGAAAAAAGCAUGUAUGGUACACUGACAUGCAACAUUUCUGAAGAGUAUGUCUGUAUCACAGUCAGUUCCACAUCAGCACAGUAUAAUUUGUGUGGUAUAUAGGCUUGAGUACACCUCUGCACAGUUAAAAGAGAUUUAUAGAUCAGUGUUUUCCUUAUGUGUCAGGAGAGCUGUUGAAAAAAAGUAUUUUGAAAAAAUAUCAGAAAGUGGGAAUAAAGUGGAAAUGUGGUUGCAUGUGGGGAUAGAAACCCCUAGUAAACACUGUACUCUGAAACUGAAAGGCUGUGGAGCUGUCAUUAAGCCCAUUAAAGUUUAUAGGAGCAGUUCUGACCAUGAGAAUUAGUGCAAUUCGCAUACAGACUUGGGCUCUGUGAACAAGUUUGCAUAAAACAAGAGCAAACCUGAAACCCUGCAAAAAAAAAAAAUUGAGCUGAACCAAGCCUUUUCCUGAGGGUUGGAAAAAAUUUGAUUAAUUGUUUAAUUUUCACAUUCCUCAACUUUUCCAUUUUCAGCUGGGAGAAAGAGUGGACAAGAGAGUAUUUUGUGGUAUUUUUACUGGCCUGACUGAAGCUGAAGAGGUAUUAGAGGUAAUCUCAUGAGAAAGUUUGACCUUGCAAGAUUUCCGAUUGAUUUCCAGAGCCAAAAUACUCAGAUACAUUUGGAUAGACUUCGAACAAAUGUCCAAACUUCAGCAUGCCUGUGUGAAAUGAAGAUCCAAAUGUUUUGAUAUACCCUCCUUCCUCUCCUUGACAAGCAAACAUGUACAUUGUAUGCACAUUUGCAUGUGUUAUUUGUGACACUUGGAAAAAUACAUGUACAUUCAAGUUCUUGUCAGAGGGAUUUUAGGGUUGAAGUGCUAAUUCAUAACUCAAAAUAAAAAUUGAUAUAAAACAUAA